rfam:Felis catus isolate Cinnamon breed Abyssinian chromosome A1, whole genome shotgun sequence.
GCCUGGCUGGCUCACUUGGUAGAGCUUGUGACUCUUGAUCUCAGGGUUGUGAGUUCAAGCCCCACAUGGGGUG